GCUCACUCCUGUAACACCUCAGUCUUCAGGUUUCAGCAAAACAACAUGGAUGUCAGAGCUCUCGGCAUCAGACUGUUGAUGACGAUUAUGAUUAUGAAUCUGCUGGGUGUUCAGGGUCAGAGAGUUCAGGCGGGCCUUUUCCCUUCUGUGGACCCACAUUGGAUACUAGGCUUUUCUUUGUUGAAUGCUCUGGUACUGUUGCUUGGAAUAUACUUGAUACUUGAUGAUUGCUGGUGCAGAA